rnacentral:tRNA from 1 species
GGUAAGGUGGCCGAGGGUUAGGCGGUGGGUUGUAGCUCCAUAAACAGAGGUUAGAGUCCUCUCCUUUCCA